rnacentral:rRNA from 1 species
UAGGGAAUCUUCGGCAAUGGACGAAAGUCUGACCGAGCAACGCCGCGUGAGUGAAGAAGGUUUUCGGAUCGUAAAACUCUGUUGUUAGAGAAGAACAAGGACGUUAGUAACUGAACGUCCCCUGACGGUAUCUAACCAGAAAGCCACGGCUAACUACGUGCCAGCAGCCGCGGUAAUACGUAGGUGGCAAGCGUUGUCCGGAUUUAUUGGGCGUAAAGCGAGCGCAGGCGGUUUCUUAAGUCUGAUGUGAAAGCCCCCGGCUCAACCGGGGAGGGUCAUUGGAAACUGGGAGACUUGAGUGCAGAAGAGGAGAGUGGAAUUCCAUGUGUAGCGGUGAAAUGCGUAGAUAUAUGGAGGAACACCAGAGGCGAAGGCGGCUCUCUGGUCUGUAACUGACGCUGAGGCUCGAAAGCGUGGGGAGCAAACAGG